rnacentral:rRNA from 1 species
GGGUACUCGAGCGGCGAACGGGUGAGUAACACGUGAGCAACCUGCCCUAGGCUUUGGGAUAACCCUCGGAAACGGGGGCUAAUACCGGAUAUUCACUUGCGGACGCAUGUUUGUGGGUGGAAAGUUUUUCGGCUUGGGAUGGGCUCGCGGCCUAUCAGCUUGUUGGUGGGGUGAUGGCCUACCAAGGCGACGACGGGUAGCCGGCCUGAGAGGGCGACCGGCCACACUGGGACUGAGACACGGCCCAGACUCCUACGGGAGGCAGCAGUGGGGAAUAUUGCACAAUGGGCGGAAGCCUGAUGCAGCGACGCCGCGUGAGGGAUGACGGCCUUCGGGUUGUAAACCUCUUUCAGCAGGGACGAAGCGCAAGUGACGGUACCUGCAGAAGAAGCGCCGGCCAACUACGUGCCAGCAGCCGCGGUAAGACGUAGGGCGCGAGCGUUGUCCGGAUUUAUUGGGCGUAAAGAGCUCGUAGGCGGCUUGUCGCGUCGACUGUGAAAACCCGUGGCUCAACUGCGGGCCUGCAGUCGAUACGGGCAGGCUAGAGUUCGGUAGGGGAGACUGGAAUUCCUGGUGUAGCGGUGAAAUGCGCAGAUAUCAGGAGGAACACCGGUGGCGAAGGCGGGUCUCUGGGCCGAUACUGACGCUGAGGAGCGAAAGCGUGGGGAGCGAACAGGAUU